AUUUUAUAACAACUUUCCUCAGUUCUAUAAAUAUAAUAGAAUGACGAUUGCAAAAUAAAAUGACGAAAUAUUAGUAGAAUCUGAUAUGAUUUCAACGAAGGAAUAAAAUAUUUUUAUGGUUUAAUUAAAGAUAUGGAUUAAAAAUGCCAGAAUUCAUUUUUUCCUAUGUUGAAGCAUGGAUACAAAUUCAGAUAAAAUUUCGUAUGAAUUCUGCACGACGUGAGGCACUCCUGGAGGCAUCUGAUGCCCUCGUCUAUCGUUCCGACUGCCCUUCUGUGGGAGGUGCUGCUGUAGUAUUCGACCUUUCUCCUGCACGCAUCUCCUGCGACAGAGACUCUCAGUGCGCUGUUUUCUUUGGCAAGCCUUGCGUUACAUCGUCCAUAACCAAUGCUUAGGCGCGCGUGUUAAGUAAAUGCUUUGGUGUUAUGCCUGAAUGUCAUGCUGAUGUGACCAUCUCAAAAAUUUGCCCAUAAUGGAGGACUGGCUAUAAAUGCAACAGAUAUCAGCAAGAUCCAGGAGGAGAUUGCACGCGUGGCAGAGGAUGCUGACGGGGCAAGAUGAAAUAUGGAUCCAUUUUUAAGGGAUUCUUUGAUAUUGUUCAAUCUCUUAAUGCCACUAGCGAUUUAUUAUAUAUUUUUCCAGAAUAUUUGUUCAAUUAUUUCUCUUAGUUCAAACAUUUGAGUUAUUUUAUAAACUAUACACGUGGUUGUAAUAAAAUAUAAAAUUUUCAAAUUAAUUUUAAUUAUCUUUUCAUAUAGAAUGCAGGAAAACCAGUCGGCACAGUUUUUAAUACUUGCACCUAGCCAACUUAUGCAAAUAUUAUAUGAUUUGAUGGAUUUAAAAAGUGCAAUUCCCAUUUAAUGACGGUUAUACAUUUUCCUUACAUUUAAUUUUACUAUAUACAGUAUAAAUGCUAUAUAUCUCAAAACCGGCCGAAACUAAAAGUUAAAAAGAAGAAAGUAAGAUAAGAUUUUUAAGAUAAACCAGGAAGACAUGUAUGAUUGGUUUAUAUGCUCCAACGCUCCAUUAAAAAUAUUCGAUUAUGUUUAAAUAUCAGUAUGUCAUAUAUAAAGUUAUUUGGUAUCAGAAUGGUUUUCAAAAUAUUAUGAGAAUGUUACUGAUAACAGUACAAAAAUUUUACAAACACACAAUUUUAUAUAUGCUAUGCAACUGAAAGAAUUUAAAUGGAGGACACUAGUUUUUUAAAUAAUUUGUUUCAUUGUAUUCAUUGCUACAAUUAUACAUAUGGGAAGAUGUAUAGUGAAGGC
rnacentral:lncRNA from 1 species